rnacentral:rRNA from 1 species
UACGUAGGGGGCAAGCGUUGUCCGGAAUCAUUGGGCGUAAAGCGCGUGUAGGCGGCUCGAUAAGUCUGCUGUGAAAGUCCAGGGCUCAACCCUGGGAUGCCGGUGGAUACUGUCGAGCUCGAGUCCGGAAGAGGCGAGUGGAAUUCCUGGUGUAGCGGUGAAAUGCGCAGAUAUCAGGAGGAACACCAAUGGCGAAGGCAGCUCGCUGGGACGUGACUGACGCUGAGACGCGAAAGCGUGGGGAGCAAAUAGG